ACACACACUCAUGACCAUUGUUUACACACUAUAACAGGUGACCCCCAGGUGAAGCCCGGAUGUAGGUCAGUGGGCGGGGCAAGAGGUCACCUGCACGCGCUAACCAGGUCACAAUGCACACCUGCGACGGACGGGCGAAAGGUGUGAAAUUGUUUUGUUUGCAGUUUUUAUAUUCUGUAAUUUUAUUCUAUGCGUUGUUGUGUUGUUGUUUUGUUGGUCGUAAAGGUGACAGUGUGUGUGUGUGUGUGUGUGUGUGUGUGUGUGUGUGUGUGUGUGUGUGUGUGUGUGUGUGUGUUGAGGGACAGGAAGAGAGGGGCCGAAAUGUGAGGGAAAUUAUGGCACAGUAUUUCCUUCCUUACUUUCCAGUCCUCGUUUAUCUCCUCUCUCUUGUUCAACGCCUCCUUUCCGCUUCCUCCUCUCCUCUAUUCUUCCUUUUCCUGCCAUUAUUCCCUUACUUCCUCCGAUGGAUUUUGUAUCUAAUUCUGAUCCUUCUUUCUCAUUUUCUCUGAUUCAGGAUGCAUUAAAUUUACAAGACACAGGUACAUAAUCUUUGUUUAUUGCAAUAUAUAGCCUGCCAAGGAAGUAAACACACACACACACACACACACACACACACACACACUCUCUCUCUCUCUCUCUCUCUCUCUCUCUCUCUCUCUCUCUCUCUCUCUCUCUCUCUCUCUCUCUCUCUCUCUCUAUGUGUGUGGGGACAGCGUAUCGUGGACUUUUCUCUCCGUUUUGCUGGACUGCCUCCUUUGCUGUAGAAUCAACAACAAUAUCAACAACAAACAGGAAACAACAGCCCACACAAACACUUUUGCUUCCAACAGUUGUCUUCCUUAAGUCUAAGAGUAACUCAUUUCCUCCAUAGAAAAAUAUAUUAAUUUUGUACUCAGCUAUCACAAGCACGUGUUAUAUAUCUGCAGCAUAAUGAGGGGAGUCUAUGGGCAUACGUAUAAUACAUGGCGGGGAUGCAUGGUACACACGCGGUACACACACAUCCGUCUGCAUUGAAAGCAUCACUUGAUCUGACCUGACGUGACUAACGACCCCUGUUUGAGCUUUCCACGCAAACCGCUUUUCUUCAAGUAACUUUAUGAUUGUACAACAUCUUCAUUUUCUUCCCUCUUCUAAAGCACAUUUCUAUCUAACUGGCGAGCAAGCCCCGCCCACUCCAGCAGUCGAGGAAUGUGAUUGGUUAAUACUAGGAAUAUGCACCUAAUUGGUCUCCGCUGGGCUGGGCGGGGUGGGCUUGCCUGCCGGGUUAGCCUAAACACAACUUCGUCACUUGCUGCUGCACACGUUCAGGUCUUCACGUUUCUUGUACUACAUGAUAUCUUAUUGUACUAGAGAUUUCCUAUUAUUAUUGUGUACUACUGAGAGUAUUGGCUCGUUCCUUAGAAAACAGGAAAGACGGAAGGGGAAACUGGCUCAUAGCAAGUGAAGCAAGUGAGGGCUAACAGAUGAAGCAGCUGAGGGAUGACAGCUGAAGCAAGAAUGAAGAGUGGAAGGUGAAACAGAAAUGAGGAAUAAAAGGUGAAACAGAAAUGAGGAAUGGAAAGCGAGACAGCAAUGAGGAAUGGCAGGUGAAAUAGGAAUGAGGAAGCACUACACUGAAACAGGAAUGAAGAGUAAAAGGUGAAACAAAAUUGAGGAAGCACUACACUGAAACAGGAAUGAAGAGUAAAAGGUGAAACAAAAUUGAGGAAGCACUACACUGAAACAGGAAUGAAGAGUAAAAGGUGAAACAAAAAUGAGGAAGCACUACACUGAAACAGGAAUGAAGAGAGAAAGGUGAAACAAAAAUGAGGAAGCACUACACUGAAACAGGAAUGAAGAGAGAAAGGUGAAACAAAAAUGAGGAAGCACUACACUGAAACAGGAAUGAAGAGUAAAAGGUGAAACAAAAAUGAGGAAUGGCAGAUGGAACAGGAAUGAGGAAGG